rnacentral:lncRNA from 1 species
UAUGCCAGCAAGAGAUGACACGUUUUUAAUUUCCAAAGUCUUUGAUCUAAGAGUAUGACAUUUUUCUCCUCGGAUCCCGUUUUGAUCAAGCAAUAAAUGCAAGGUAAGUAUGCUUGAGAAUUUUUGCAAAUUAAAACAGCCUCAGUGAGAUAUAUAAAAGAUAAUGAGUGAUCUGAGAGAACCUAUGAGGAUAAAAGGUAUGCUAACUUUAUUUUCAAAAAUAUACAAAAAACUCUAAGUGACA